GCGUAUAUUAAAGUUGUUGCGGUUAAAAAGCUCGUAGUUGGUUCUGCGUGCCGCGCUGUCGGUUCGCCGCCUGUCGGUGUAACUGGCAUGUCGCGGCAUGUCCUGUCGGUGGUGAACGGAGUCCACGACGCUACAUGGGCUUUAUAGUCGAUGUUAGCAUCGUGUGUACUUCCGUUGGCCGAUCUCUCCUACUUCGGUGCUCUUAAACGAGUGUCGAGGUAGGCCGACACGUUCACUUUGAACAAAUUAGAGUGCUUAAAGCAGGCUGAAAUAUCUGCCUGAAUAGUGGUGCAUGGAAUGAUAAAACAGGACCUCGGUUCUAUUUUGUUGGUUUUAGGAAUAUGAGGUAAUGAUCAAUGUGGACUGGCGGGGGCAUUCGUAUUGCGACGUUAGAGGUGAAAUUCUUGGAUCGUCGCAAGACGCACUAGAGCGAAAGCAUUUGCCAAGUAUGUCUUAAUUGAUCAAGAACGAAAGUUAGAGGUUCGAAGGCGAUCAGAUACCGCCCUAGUUCUAACCAUAAACGAUGCCAGCCAGCGAUCCGCCGAUGUUCCUUUAAUGACUCGGCGGGGAGCUUCCACCCGGGAAACCAAAGCUUUUGG
rnacentral:rRNA from 1 species